AUUUAAAUUAUUAUUAUUAUUUUUAGUUGAAUUAAUUUUUUAGAAGUAGUUAUUUUUUAUUAUUAAUUUAGAAUAAAUUUUUAUUAUUAUAGUUUAUUAGUACAGUGAGGGAAUUUUUUAAAAUGAGAAAAAGAAGUAUGAAUUUCGUACCUUGUGCAUCAGGGUUAAUUAAUUAAAAAUUUUUUAUAGACUUUUCUCGAAAUUAAAAGAGCUAAUUAGUUAUAGAUUUUACUGUAAAAUAAUUAUUUAUAAUAACUAGUUAGAUGUGAGAUGCUAUUCACUUUUAAUUAUAUCUAGUUUUCUAAGAAAAAAGUUUAAUUUUAGGUUUAAUAUUUAAUAUUCUUAAUUUUGAGUUUAUUUUUAUUAUUUUUUUAUUUUUAAGGGGAUAAGCUUUUAAAAAUAUUUCUAUAAUUAUAAUUUGUUUUAAUAAGUCUUAGGAUUAGAAUUUUCCAUUGAUUAAAUUAUGUUAUAAUUUAUUAUUAAUUAAAUUUUAUUUUUAUUUUUUUUUAGGUUUUUUAUUAGAAUAUUUUAUUUAAUUUUAUUUUAAAAUUAAUAAUGAUUAAAUUAGUAUAGGAUUUUGUUUAUUUUAUUGUAAUAUCAAGGUAAAUCUAAGGAACUCGGCAAAUUAAUUUUCCACCUGUUUAUUAAAAACAUGUCCUUUUGAGUAUAAUUUAAGGUCUAGCCUGCCCACUGAGCAUUUAAAUGGCCGCGGUAUUUUGACCGUGCAAAGGUAGCAUAAUCAUUAGUUUUUUAAUUGAAAGCUGGAAUGAAUGGCUGAAUGAGAAAAUUACUGUCUCAGAUUUAUUUUUUUAGAAUUUUAUCUUUAAGUUAAAAAGCUUAAAUGUAAUUAAAAGACGAGAAGACCCUAUAGAAUUUUAUAUACUCUUUUUUAAUUAUUUUUGGUUUUUAGUUAUUUUUAUUUAGGGGGCAUAUUUUGUUGGGGUGACAGAAAAAUUAAUAAAACUUUUUUUUUAUUUUUUCAUUGAUUAGUGUUUAUUUGAUCCGGAAUUUCCGAUUAUAAGAAUAAAUUACCUUAGGGAUAACAGCGUAAUUUUUUUUGAGAGUUCUUAUCGAAAAAGAAGAUUGCGACCUCGAUGUUGGAUUAAAGUUAAUUUAUGGUGCAGAAGCUAUGAGAUUGGGUCUGUUCGACCCUUAAAACUUUACAUGAUCUGAGUUUAGACCGGCGUGAGCCAGGUUGGUUUCUAUCUUUAAUUAAUUGGAAUAUCUUAGUACGAAAGGACCAGGUAUUUGAUUAAAAAUUUUAAUUUUGAAUACUAUUAA
rnacentral:rRNA from 1 species